GAUGAACGUUGGCGGCGUGCCUAAUACAUGCAAGUCGAACGGAGACGGUAGCAAUACGGUCUCAGUGGCGAACGGGUGAGUAACGCGUUGGUGACCUGCCCCGAAGUGUGGAAUAACAGAUCGAAAGAGCUGCUAAAUACCGCAUAAUAUCCAGAGGAUUAGAUGCCUUUGGAUUAAAGGAUUUAUUCGCUUCGGGAGGGGCCUGCGUCCCAUCAGCUAGUUGGUAAGGUAAUGGCUUACCAAGGCGAUGACGGGUAGGGGACCUGAGAGGGUGGCCCCCCACAAUGGAACUGAAACACGGUCCAUACACCUACGGGUGGCAGCAGUAGGGAAUAUUAGUAAUGGGCGAAAGCCUGAACUAGCAACGCCGCGUGUGCGAAGAAGGCCCUUCGGGUUGUAAAGCACUUUUUGAGAGGAUGAGGAAGGACGGUACUCUCAGAAUAAGUCUCGGCUAACUACGUGCCAGUCAGCCGCGGUAAACUAGUCUACG
rnacentral:rRNA from 1 species